CUCUCCAGUGACUACAGUGACUCAAUACCAUCAGCUGCCUCCUUCUGCAACUGAGCUUGCAGUAUCAUUGAAGCUGAUUACAAGAGACCCCAAGACGCCACCUAGCACAGUUCCGAGGUGAAUAUGAUCAGCCUUUGAAGAAGCUAAAUGACUGACAGCCUGUCAAUAAAACCUGUGCCCUUUUGGAGCGCUCA
rnacentral:lncRNA from 1 species